CUGAUAACAUGCUAGCUAAGCCUGUGUCUCUGCUUCCUGUCUCAUCCGACUAUAACGUUGAGCUAGAUGGCGUGCAUCUUCCAGAGGAGCACCAGUAAUCAUCGCUCGUAGCGGAUCUAAAAUCUGUGAAGAUAACAAUCGAUUCAAGUCCUCUCGCUCUUUCUCCACNNNNNNNGCAUCACCAUAGAUGGCCACAGCCUUAGCUAGCAUGUUAUCAUUAGCAUUCUCAGUUCCAUAUCUGCAGCAAUCCUCAGACAAUUUGAUUCCUGCUUCAAUAUGUUUGUACCCAAUGGCUGUAAAUGUUUCCGCUGCUUUAACAAUAUCCUUCUGAAAAUCCUUCCCUGCACGAGUCAACCUGUACAAUUUCUCCAGCUGUUGAUGCCUCUGCAUCUCAACCUCAUCAAUAACCAUAACAUCUGAGCUUUCAUA
rnacentral:misc_RNA from 1 species